rnacentral:rRNA from 1 species
UACGAAGGGUGCAAGCGUUACUCGGAAUUACUGGGCGUAAAGCGUGCGUAGGCGGUGCGUUAAGUCUGUCGUGAAAUCCCCGGGCUCAACCUGGGAAUGGCGAUGGAUACUGGCGCGCUAGAGUAAGGUAGAGGAGAGUGGAAUUCCUGGUGUAGCAGUGAAAUGCGUAGAGAUCGGGAGGAACAUCAGUUGCGAAGGCGGCUCUCUGGACCAUCACUGACACUGAGGCACGAAAGCGUGGGGAGCAAACAGG